GGCGAGCAAGACUUGCUCUUUGAGACUGGCGCCAAGGACUGCGCGUGCCACUGCAACGUCGUGCUCCAGGCACGAACCUUUCAAGGAUCCAGGCACCAACCGAUAGCCUUGUCAAGGGGCCCUGGACGACCGUAUAUUUGCAGGGCGAAGAAGCCGAGUACGCGUCCACUGGAGGUUGGCAUGAGCACGAGUCUCGAGGUCGUUGGGGGCGGCGCCGCCGAUUCUGCCGACAGCCUAGGAGACUUGGCCCGGGAUCCACGUAUCCAUGUCCUCUGCACGCUGGCCCGUU